UGUUGCCCACGGGCAUAGUGGGUUAAAGUAGGCCACACUCCCCCCAAAAGGUGCCGCUGUCAUGCUGUCUACAGGUAGAGGGUGAGAGAGACACGUAGGAUUUAAGACAGAGGUUCCGUAUUGCCAGCUCCCAAACUGUCCCUUGGGAGGAGUGGCUUCUCCAGAGCUAGAAAUGGCUAGAUAUUACUCAGCGUGUGGAGCCUGCCCGGCGUACUUCCGGGCUACCUGAACUUGCUGUGGCUGGUGGCCAGUACGAAGCCCCUGCCCAGGAAGCCUGCGGGAACCCCUGUGCCCACCCGGAUCUGCACUGCUUGGGCCAGCGGGUACCACAGCACGUCUUCAUGCUGCCAGGAAGCCUUAGCUGUCCUUAACUCCUCUCGCAGCCACCCCCACCCUGUGUGUGAGUGUACGCGCCCACGAGAGUGCACCAGCACCUGUGUGCUCCUGCUUUCCUCAGCACUGGCUGUGUGUAUACCAGGUGCAGACCGGAGACUAGGAUACAGGGUGAAUGCUGUGCCAGCACGGAUGGGUCCCUCUGGGUGAUGCCAGGCCACCUUACUAGUCCCACCUGGACCCCUGGGAGAUGGCCCUGGCAUCGCCCCUCCAUCUGGAACCUGUACUGUUUCUCCCAUACUCUGCAGGGGCUGAGGGAGGGCAUGAGGCCUGUGCUUCCUCCCAGGAACAACCUAAGACCUAGCCAGGUCUAGGAAGGAGGCUGGCAUCACAACACUGCAGCCAAGAGCUGGAACCAGGUUCUCCGGACAGAUGUCAGCUGUGUCUGAGCUCAGGAAUUGAGAGCCCCACUGCUGACCCUCCCCUGAUCCAGCACCUCACCCAAGUGAGACACGUGUCAGGAAAUGUGGUCCAACCUCCAUCCCACCCCAACUGCUCGCCCACCCGCGGUGGGUUAGGAGAGCGGCCUCCCAGAGAUUGUAUGUGCAGACUGAGUCUGCUGUGGCCGUGCUGAAAGUCACAGGCAGGCUGAGGAUCUCCUCCGAUGAGAAAGGGCCUUGGGGAGGCUGCUUCCAGUCCCUGAAGGAGGGCUCCUACAGGAUGGGAGUACAGCACUGUGGUAAACUGUUUGGAGAGCAGACAAAAA